rnacentral:rRNA from 1 species
UACGUAGGAGGCGAGCGUUAUCCGGAAUUACUGGGCGUAAAGCGCACGCAGGCGGUUCGCCAAGUUUGGAGUGACAGUUGUCGGCUCAACCGACAAAGGACUUCAAAAACUGGUGAACUUGAGGACGAGAGAGGAACAUGGAACUCCAGGUGUAGUAGUGAAAUGCGUAGAUAUCUGGAAGAACACCAAUGGCGAAGGCAAUGUUCUGGCUCGUUUCUGACGCUCAGGUGCGAAAGCCAGGGGAGCGAACGGG